AUUGAACGCUGGCGGCAGGCCUAACACAUGCAAGUCGAGCGAGAGGCGGACGGGUGAGUAAUGUAUGGGGACUGCCCGCUAGAGGGGGAUAACUCCUGGAAACGGUGGCUAAUAUCGCAUACUGUCGCAUAACCCAUAUGGGAUUAGCUAGUAGGUAAGGUAAUGGCUUACCUAGGCGACGAUCCCUAGCUGGUCUGAGAGGAUGAUCAGCCACACUGGAACUGAGACACGGCCCAGACUCCUACGGAGGCAGCAGUGGGGAAUAUUGCACAAUGGGCGCAAGCCUGAUGCAGCCAUGCCGCGUGUAUGAAGAAGGCCCUAGGGUUGUAAAGUACUUUCAGUGGGGAGGCGUUACCGACAGAAGAAGCACCGGCUAACUCCGUGCCAGCAGCCGCGGUAAUAC
rnacentral:rRNA from 1 species